GUAUUAAUUAACUUUAAAACAUUAAUAUGUAGUUGUUACCUUCCACUCCACAAACUGCAGCGACUAAAAACCAGGCCUUGUCCUUUCUGAUGUUGUCCUUGUAGUAAGCAUUGGUUACAUCAUAUAAAAUAGUGUGUUUUUCCACUUCCAUGAUGAAAACCUCGUCGUCCAUUGUGCGUAUCGUAGUGGAGGUGUUGUGAUGAAGGAGGGGUAUAGCUUUAAAUAA